AGUGUGAACGCGUUAGCAUACUUAUUAUCAAAUUAUUGUGAGGCUGUCAUCAAUACUAUUAAAAGAAAAUGAGUUUUAGUAAAUCUACCUAUGAAAGUUGUUUGGACCUUUUGAUUACACUUAUUUUUUUUGGUCCUACAAUUAAUCACUCUAAUUAUACAUAAUUAAUAACUCUAACUACCUAUAAAAAAUUGUGAUGUUCGUGAGAUAUUAAUUGUGUUACCAUAAAAAUUAACGAACACUCCUAAUUUCGUGGGAUCACAAUCAUUGUGAUAUGUGUGGGAUAUUAAUAUCACUAAGAUCACAAUCAUAUUAAAGCUAAAAUAAUAUUCCAUAUUUUAUACAUGUACUAAUAAUAUCAUUAAACAUUGUAUCAUGACAUCUUAUAUAGUUUCAAAUAUUUACAAAAUUAAAUUUGAUAAAUCGCAAAUCAUAUGUUAAAAUAAAAUUAUAUUUAUAUUAUCUUAACUUAAUUUUUAUAGAAUGUAUUAUAAUAAAAACAAAUUAUUAAUAAAGUUUAAAAACUAUGAGAAAUCUUACAAAUAUGUUCUACUGAAUUAGUUAAAAAAAUCUAUCAAAUAAAUCUUAAACCAUAAAAAUUUAACAAAUGUAAAACUUAUAAAAUGCACACAAAAUAUAAUGAGAAAAUAGGUUUGGGUGCUCAAGUAUUCGGAUCGGUUCCUUUCUAUCUUGGUUAUUUGGAUUCUAAACAUUUGGACCCAAAUAGAUUUUUGUUUUUUUAUUCAGGUUUAGAUGGGUUCUUUUAUGUUCGGAUCAGUUUGGAAUCAUAAUUCAAAUACAUGUAAAAUACAUGUAAUAUUUGAGUAUGUAGCAUGGAUAGGUCGGUUCAUAUAUUUAAGUUUAGACAAAGAUCAGAAGUACCUAAAAACCUGAAAAAUGAUAGCGUUAAUAGCGUGUUUUGGGUUUUACCGUAUUUUUAUCAUAUUUUGUUUAUUAAAUUCAAAAUAGGACUAUAUACAGAUUUAUUGAAUCUAUCGGUUUGACUAUGUUGCUUCUGUGUGUCUUAAAUCUCUGUGCACCAGUAAAAGUCCAACACUUGUGGGUCGGACAAUUUGAAAAAUUUACUUUUUCUAGAUAAGUAUGUAUUCCUAAAAUAUAAAGGAAAUCAGGUUUUGAGGCUGCUAUGAAUAUGAGUCUAAGGGUUUGUAAGAUUAUUCAUUCACACAAUAAUAAGAAACCCUAAACGGGUAUUUGCCUCAAUAUGUUUUGUUCUCUACUAUCUUCUUGAUUAAUUCAUGGCUGUUCACAACAGACUAUAUGUCUGGAUUGGAUAUGAAAAUACUAUUUAAAAUUCAAACAUUAUAAUAGAGAAAUUUUAAAAUCAUUUAUUCCUAAUAAAAAGUUAUAAAUUUAUUCAAAUUUUAUCAAACGGACAACAAAAAAUACCCGCGCUUCUCAAGCGCAGGUCAAAAUCUAGUAUGUCUAUUAUAGUGUAAAAACAUUUAUUACAAUGUUUCUCUUUUAAUAUAUAUUAGGUGGAUGCCCGCGGUUUCGCGGGUUUGAAUGUUUUGUAACAAUACAUUUAUUAUAAUUUUUCAAAUUAAAAUUUGUUUUUAUCAUUAUGUGUUUUUGUUAAAUAUUGUUUUAAGAAUAAUUGUUUAAAAAAAUAUAAAUAUGACUAUUUUAAAUAUUUGUGUUGAUAAUUGUACUAAAAUUAGUUAUGUAUAAUAUUCAUGAUUGAGUUUUUAAUAAAAUUACUUAAUUUUAAAGCUAUAUAAUACUGAAACUUUUGGAAUAUUUUAUAUAGUUUAGAAAUACUUGAUUGCUAAAAAUAAUUUUAUGAAGCAUUAUAUAUAUUAUAUAAAUCACAAAUUUAAUUACCAUAAUUUAUUUUAUGCAAUAUAUUUAGGUCAUUUGGAUACUGAUAAAACUAUUUCUAGAACUAAUUUUCGUACUCAUAAAAUAAAUAAAAAUUAAAAAUCCAUUAACAAAUCAAAUUAUAAUAUUUUUUUCUCAAACUCUAUAUAUGAUCGACACUUAAGAAAAAAUCAAUUAAGUGAUUUAUCAUUUAAUAUAAAAUGAAAUUUAAGAAUAGAUUUUAUAAAUUAAUUUAUGAGCUUGUAUAAAUAAAUUAAAGCCUCUUAUCAUAAUUUAUGAACUAAGUAUCUACCUCCUCCUAACCUACUUUUGAACAACAUGUUACCUGCUGCUUGUCUAUAAAUACCAUUUUCUUUAUUUUCUUUUUGAGGUUUUUGGUGAAAAACUGUUAUGUUUUCCUUCUGAUUAUAUUAACUUACAUUUGCAAUUUUUUAAUCUUCCUGCAGGAGAGCAAAAGUAUAUUCAUCUAGGAAAGUUCCAUUACACUUGAUUGCUAAUAGGCCAUAAAGAAAGCUAUGGCUCCUGGUGGCAGUACUUACAAAGAAGCCUUGAAGUCUAACUGGAUAGGCUUAGCUUACGAGGUUAGGAUGUCUCCAUUGGAAAAAUCCGUUCAAGCAAGGGCAAUGGUGUUCAUGAGCUUCUCGAAUGUCCGGUUUGCACAAAUCUCAUGUAUCCUCCAAUUAAUCAGGUUUGUUAAUUUUCCCAUAAUGUCCCAAUGGCCACACGUUAUGUUCAAGCUGCAAACAACAAGUGCAGAACACGUGCACCCUACAUGCCGUUACGAGCUCGGCAACAUAAGAUGCUUGGCUCUCGAGAAGGUUGCGGAAUCGUUGGAGGUUUCAUGCCGGUACCAAAGCUUAGGGUGUCACGACAUUUUCCCGUACUACAGCAAGGUCAAGCACGAGCAGCACUGCAGGUCGAGUGUUCAGUGACGGGAGACAUUCCAUCCCUUGUUGAGCAUCUCAAAGACGAUCAUAAAGUCGAUAUGCAUAGUGGUUGCACUUUCAACCACCGUUAAUGUCAAGUCUAAUCCUCAAGAAGUUGAGAAUGCUACAUGGUUUUCUUUUUUUUUUAAUUAAAAACUAGAUAUGAGUUGGUAACUUAUUAAUGCUACAUGGUUUCCUUUUGGUUC